GGCACACUUUAUACAUACACACACACAAAUAUGUAUAUGCAAACGAAUGUAUGUAUAUGUGUUCAUGUGUUUAUGCAUUUGCAUAUAUAUAUAUAUAUAUGUGUGUGUGUGUGUAUGUAUAAAGUGUACC